rnacentral:rRNA from 1 species
GAUGAACGCUAGCUACAGGCUUAACACAUGCAAGUCGAGGGACCGGCGCACGGGUGAGUAACACGUAUCCAACCUGCCCUUUACUCGGGGAUAGCCUUUCGCCAGAAUGACUAAUACCCGAUAUAAUGGAUGGGGAUGCGUUCCAUUAGGUUGUUGGUGAGGUAACGGCCCACCAAGCCUUCGAUGGAUAGGGGUUCUGAGAGGAAGGUCCCCCACAUUGGAACUGGGACACGGACCAAACUCGUACGAGAGGCAGCAGUGAGGAAUAUUGGUCAAUGGGCGUUAGCCUGAACCAGCCAAGUAGCGUGAAGGAUGAAGGCUUAUGGGUCGUAAACUUCUUUUAUAUAAGAAUAUGUAUUAUAUGAAUAAGGAUUGGCUAACUCCGUGCCAGCAGCCGCGGUAAUAC